GAGCCUGAUGAUGUCCCACCACGAUGCAACGGCUCUCCUGGCUGGGGCUAGUGGAAGCAGUUUUGAUGGAAGUUAAGGAUUUGCAACUUAGAGGAUUUCUGGGAUAAUUCUCUUAAAGUAGUGACUUCACCAACAGGAAUUCCAGGCCCCCUGGUGUGCCAGCUCAAGGGAUAAGCAGAGUAUGUCGGGUUCCCAGGUGCCAAUGAACAGAGAAAUAGCCAAAGGGCUCGCUGAGUGGGAGCAGAGGUAAAUGGGCCUGGAUAAUUGGAAAACUGGAUAGUCACGAGGUUAACUAUGCCACAGGCAAGAAUCCAGAUGGUUCCAACCUACCUCAGCCAGGGAUUGAUUUGUUCAGAGUUUUGAAAUUACCAGGGAAGAGCUUUUGAGGAUGUUUGAGAUCCAUGAUUCAAAACAGGGAGGGACACAUGAGUGGCAGGUGACAUCAGAAGCCACCAGCCAUUCCUCAAAUUGCCAGCUCUGGAGCCCUCCAUCCUGCACUAGAAGGAGAUACUGCAAACCCUGCCAAGGUGUUCAUGCUUCUCGUGCUUUAACAUUGAUGACGUGAAACAAGGUCCCAGCUUGAACACUCUGAGUUUUGAACAGAUAUGUCUGAGAGGACAUCUGCCAGAAGCCUAUUUGCAUGAGGAACUUAGAAACCUCCAGGAGAAAGCUCAGACUGAAGGAAAGAGGAGUCGGCUUGCCAACUGCAAGGCACCAGACAAUAAAUAAUGCCUUAGUGGUCAAUGGAAA
rnacentral:lncRNA from 1 species